UACGAGGGGGGCAAAUGUUGUUCGGAAUCACUGGGCGUAAAGCGCACGUAGGCGGAUUGUUAAGUCAGGGGUGAAAUCCUGGAGCUCAACUCCAGAACUGCCUUUGAUACUGAAGAUCUUGAGUUCGGGAGAGGUGAGUGGAACUGCGAGUGUAGAGGUGAAAUUCGUAGAUAUCGCAAGAACACCAGUGGCGAAGGCGGCUCACUGGCCCG
rnacentral:rRNA from 1 species